rnacentral:lncRNA from 1 species
GCAUCAGAAAGGAGCUGUGGACAUUUGUAGUUCUCACUAGUUAUGAGCGUCUCAUUACUUUUUGUAUUUGGUAUGCUUUGUCUUGUAUGCAAAUUGAGCUGCCUGGGUGCACUUUUUCAUUGGAGGACUUGGGCUGGUGGCCCCGCCUACCGCCUGGGACCUGCUCAGAAUGCUUGCGGAGUGGUCUGCGUGAAUGAGUUUUUUUAGGUGUCUGUUGAGUUGACAGCCCCAGAGUGCUAGGGUGCAGCCUCUGCGGACGCUCUAAAAAGGGGAAAAAAGCUCCUGUAGAGACAGUGGACCUGAAUGAGGGCAGGUGUGGAGGCUUGGAACCCCACAAUAAAGUCACCCUGUAGCUUAAACUUGGCUUUCUCAGCUGUAGCUGUUUCUCUGCCUUAAGCACGUGGGUUUGGGGGAAGAGGAGCACUCGGAUGUCUACCAUUUAGUUCAGGCUGGUAUAAGUCUUUCGGUGGUCCUUCUGUUUCAGCUUCCACAGACCAUAUGUGUCUCAUUUAAGUCUUCAGAGUAGGUUAGUCACAGCCCUUGCUGCUCCUUCAAAGUACUUGUAUUCGAUGCUCCAUACCCAGAUGGGUUUAACUCUGGAUCCAGGAAGUCGCUUCCUUAGGCCCCUGGACUCAGGUCUGCUUACCGGCUUUCUGUACACAUUACUCAAAACGGUAGUUUUGUUUUUCAGAUCUCUAGGUUUUUACAUCUGAUGUUUACGGGUCUUCUCACUGGCUGAAGAAAUAGGAGACUGUUCCUACAGUUCCUGGAGCAGGAACCUGGCAUUUCAUUAAGAUAUGGUUAUCUCGUGUUCAAUGCUUUCUGUGUGGCAGAAACUUGGUGCGGUCUUUCAGCAGAUUUAUUUUAAGUGUUGAUAGUGAGUACAGCUGUGGAUGAGACAACGAAGGCUAAAAUUUUGGAGCCUAGAUUUGAACUCUGCUCUGUGCGAUUUUACACAACCUCGUUUUAUGUGCCACUGGUGUUUUUGUUUGUUUGUUUGUUUUGUUUUGUUUUGUUUUUUGUUUUUGCGAGAGUCUUCUCUGCCCCUGUGGGCUGACACUUCACUUCUAGAGUCUGAGCAUACAUAACACUGAUACCAUUAGUCUAGUGAACUCAUUUUCUUAAAGCAAGUGAAAAAUGAGAUGUUUAUUUUUCUGUCUUGAGAAAUAUUUCAGUUACAGUUAUAUGGUUUUUAUUUUCUUAUAAAGUCACAUGUUCUAUCAAACUAUGAAACACAAAAUGUAAUAAUAAUGAUUAUCACCCCUCUUUUAAUCUGAGUUUUGAUUAUUUGAGAUAAUCAAACAUCUAUAACUAUUACUAGCAAAAAGAAAUGAAACAAAAAAAUGAAACUUAAAUAUCAUUUAUUAUUACACAAAUAACAACAGCAACAAAAGUAUUUGUGCAUUCACUGUGGAAAUCAUUUCUCUCAAAAGGCUUAAAUUAGAAACUGCCAUGUCACCUGCCCGGAUGGAAAGUUACUUAGUGGUAAGAAAAACAGAAAUCUUACACUGACAAGAUGAUGGACGGGACAGAAAUCACUAUAUUAAGCAAAAUUGUGUGGGAAGCCGCCCUCACAUUUGCCAUUAUAAGAUGGCGCUGACAGCUGUGUUCUAAGUGGUAAACAUAAUCUGCACACGUGCAGGGGCAGUUUUCCCGCCAUGUGUUCUGCCUUUCUCGUGAUGACAACUGGGCCGAUGGGCUGCAGCCAAUCAGGGAGUAAUACGUCCUAGGCGGAGGAUAAUUCUCCUUAAAAGGGACGGGGUUUUGCCAUUCUUGUUCUUUCUCUUGCUUUCUUGUUCUUGUUCUUUUUCUUGCUCUUGUUCUUUUUCUUUCUCUUGCUUUCUUGUUCUUUUUCUCUCUCUUGCUUUCUUGUUCUUUCUCUUGCUUUCUUGUUCUUGUUCUUUUUCUUGCUCUUGCUUUUUCUCUCUCUUGUUCUUGCUUUUUCUCUCUCUUGUUCUUGCUUUUUCUCUCUCUUGUUCUUGCUUUUUCUCUCUCUUGUUCUUGCUUUUUCUCUCUCUUGUUCUUGCUUUUUCUCUCUCUUGUUCUUGCUUUUUCUCUCUCUUGUUCUUGCUUUUUCUCUCUCUUGUUCUUGCUUUUUCUCUCUCUUGCUUUCUUGUUCUUUUUCUUUCUCUCUCUUGCUCUCUUGCACUCUGGCUCCUGAAGAUGUAAGCAAUAAAGUUUUGCCGC